CGCCCGCUGUCUCGCUCCGCGGCGGCCACAGGUGCGCGGCUCGCGGCGCCCUGGCGCCGACUCCGGGGAAAGUUUUCCCGGCCGCGCGCAGCGCGCGGUGUACGGUCUCUCUCUGCAGCGCGGGGGCCCGGAGCGCUCGGACCAGCCCAGCCAUUGAAACCCGAUACGCGGGGUGGAGCCCACGAAGAAGGCCGGCGAAGAAGGCGCGCGGGCCGGCGGCCGGGCUGCCCCCGCGCCACUCACCUGCGGCUCCGCGGGCGGCCUCCGCGUCCAUGCUCCCGCGCGCGCCCUGCGCCCCGCCCCGGCCCGGUCCCCAGGGGUGCCCCGCACCGGGACCCGCGGAGGCCCCGGCCGCGCCCUGAAUUGCCCAGGUCCCCAUGGCCCCCGCCCCCUGCCCCCGGGCUGUCGACCUGCAACCUGUCUCUGGGGACCUCGGCUCCCCACACAGUUUGCACAGCGAGUUUGCACCACUCACCACCACCUCCGAGGAGCAGCCCCGCGCCGGGAGCCGGCUGUGUCUGCUUUCAAGAGGCAUUGUUUACACCCUCCUCCCACCCCUAGAGCCUUCAGCCUUUCAGGGCCCCCCAAAUGCUGCAGGGUGGUCGGUCCCCAUCCAUUCAAGCCAGAGGCCAACGCCAGCGGGGGCCGGCCUGCGACCUGCGCAGGCGCACAAGCGCGCUCCCCUCUCCGGUUCCAUGGAUUCCCGGUCCAGCUGCGUGGUGGUGACCGGUGAGAAAGCCAAGGCACUGAAGCUGGGUAACUUGCUCGAGAUCACCACACUGCCAAGUGGUGGGGCUGAGGUGAGAUGCAACGGCAGAAGCCUGGACCCAAACACCGAGGUCUCCAGCAACUCCUGGCUGUCGUCGGGCCGUGGCCUGAGCUUUGAUGGGGCCACUGGACGGUGUGGAUGCCUUUAAAAGGAGCAGCCAUCAUAGUGAUAGGGUGAGGGAGUCUCUCUCUCCCCAGGCCAGCAGAAAACCUUUCCUAAGCCAGUCCCAGAGGGGGCUUGCUGUCCUCUCCAAAGCAAAAUUCUACCUAAUUUCCUUUUCUUGGAGAUCAUAAUAAAUUGCAGUUAAAUGACGUAAUCAUACACAGUGUAGAUAAGUGUUCCCAGUUCAAGGAACAAGCCCUUCUGCCCGCAAGCCUCAUCCAGCUCUCACUCCUUCCCCGUGUAAAGGCCUCCCCAGCCUCUUCCGUGGGGCUUCCUCGCCCAGGCUCACUCCCUGCAACUCCUCUGCCUCUACCCUGGUUAAGUCCUUGCUCACCCCCACUUCCUCCUGGAGACUUCCCCAAUCACCCCUACUCUGGCUGCUCUCUCCCCCUGUGAAGUGUUCUGAUCCUAGUUGUUCAAAGCCUCACUAGUCCAAGUGUGGAGAGGGCCAGUAGCCUUAGUAGCACUGGGGAGCUUGUUAAGAACUCAGAAUCUCCAGCAUCACCCCAGACCUGCCCAAUCAGAUUCUAUAUUUUAAUAAGAUAUACAUGCACAUUAGCAUUUGAGAAACUCUGGACCAAAUCAUACUUCUUUUUAAAUUUUGAAAUAAUUAUAGAUUCACAGGAAUUUGCAAAGAAAUUUAUAGAAUGGUCCCCUAGAGCCAGACCCGCAAUGUUAACAUCUUCAGUAUCAAGCUAAGAUACUGACCUUGGUAUAACUCUGUGUGCACAUCUCUAUGCAGUUUUAUCCCAUGCUUAGCUUCAUGUAACCACGGCAUCAAGAUAAAUAACAGAACCAAAAUCACAAGGUUUCCUUGAAUUAUACCUUUAGAACCACACUCACCGUUUCCCGUCUCUAACUCCUGGUAACCACUAUUCUGUUCUUCAUCUGCUGCUGCUGCUAAGUCGCGUCAGUCGUGUCCGACUCUGUGCGACCCCAUAGACGGCAGCCCACCAGGCUCCCCCGCCCCUGGGAUUCUCCAGGCAAGAACACUGGAGUGGGCUGCCAUUUCCUUCUCCAAUGCAUGAAAGUGAAAAGUGAAAGUGAAGUCGCUCAGUCGUGUCCGACUCUUGGCGACCCCAUGGACUGCAGCCCACCAGGCUCCUCCGUCCGUGGGAUUUUCUGGGCAAGAGUACCGGAGUGGGGUGCCAUUGCCUUCUCCAUCUCUAUAAUUAAUUUUAUAAAUAUAAAUUAUGAUUUACAAAUAUUAUGUAGGUAGAAUCGUACAAUACGUAUCAUUUUGAGAUUGACUUUUUUUUCUUUCAUUUAGCAUAAUUCCCUUGAGGUUCAUCCAAGUUGUGUAUACCAAUAAUUCCUUCAUUUUAAAAGCAGUUUCGGUAGCUUUAUUGAGAUGUAAUUCACAUGCUAUACAAUUUACUCAUUUAAAGCAUACAGUUCAGUGGCUUUUAGUGUAGUCACAGUUAUGCCCUUAUCACCACAAUCAAUUUUAGAACGUUUUCAUUACCCUGAAAAGAUACUCGACCCCCUGAUCCUCAUCCCUGCUCCCCAACUACACACUCUCUCUCUCUCUCUCUCUCUCUCUCUCUCUCUCUCUCUCUCUCUCUCUCUCUCUCAAGCUCAGUCGUUACAGGCGGCCGAUGCGGACAUCUCAUAUAAAUGGAAUGGUACACUUUCGUAACUGGCCUCGCUCACUGAGCCUGAUGUUUUCAAGGCUCAUCCGUGCUGUCACGUGGCCAUAGCACUUCAUUUACUUUUACAGAUGGUGCGCCAUCGUAUGGCUAAUACCAGUUUUGUUUAUCCAUCAUCAGCCGAUGGACACCUGGGUUGCUUCCGCUUUUGUAUUUUCACUGCUCAGCAGUAUUCCAUGAUCUGGAUGAACCAGCUUAUUUAACCAUUCACUCAUUGAAAGACAUUGGGGUGAUUUCUAGCUAUGGGCUAUUACAAAUAAAGCUGCAGUGACCAUCUGUGUACAAGUUUCUGUGUAAAAGUAAGUUUUUAUUUCUCUGGGGUCAAUAUGGAGCAGAGAAAGUCCUUGGAAGUCCACUUUCAGUUUUAAAAGAACCUGUCAAA
rnacentral:lncRNA from 1 species